UACGAAGGGGGGCUAGCGUUGUUCGGAAUCACUGGGCGUAAAGCGCACGUAGGCGGAUCUUUUAAGUCAGAGGUGAAAUCCCAAGGCUCAACCUUGGAACUGCCUUUGAUACUGGGGAUCUUGAGUCCGGGAGAGGUGAGUGGAACUGCGAGUGUAGAGGUGAAAAUUCGUAGAUAUUCGCAAGAACACCAGUGGCGAAGGCGGCUCACUGGCCCGGUACUGACGCUGAGGUGCGGAAAAGCGUGGGGGAGCAAACAGGG
rnacentral:rRNA from 1 species